AGGGUUCACGCAGAGCAGCUGA
rnacentral:misc_RNA from 1 species